rfam:Amphibacillus xylanus NBRC 15112 DNA, complete genome.
AUAACCUUUAAAACAAGUCCAGAGAGGCUUGCAAGGUUGUACGGGGGGAUAUUUGUGUGCUUAUCUGCAUACAAAUAUGGGUCUCUUUGCAACCGUGCAAAGAGACUUUUUUAU